AAAAAUUUAGUUAAAAAAAUAACAUUAGUUUGUCAAACUAAAAUCAAUUUUAAAAAAUUAAUUUUUA
rnacentral:tRNA from 1 species